CACGUACUCCCUCCGUCCGUAAAUAUUUGUCGCACAAAAGGAUAAAAUGGAUGUAUCUAGAACUAAAAUAUGUCUAGAUACAUUCGUUUCGCUGACAAGUAUUUCUGGACAGAGGAAGUAGCUA
rfam:Triticum aestivum genome assembly, contig: Triticum_aestivum_CS42_TGACv1_scaffold_031059_1BL